rnacentral:lncRNA from 1 species
CCAAAUUUUGUCCGGGUUGUAGAGUUCGUAUUAACCUCUUGCUACCAAACGACGCUUACCGCUUCUAUCCGAUGACUUAAUACUCGAGUCAGUCUUGUCUAGCAACCCUAACUCGCGUUCAUCUAAAUUGAUCAAAAGCCCCAAUUAUUUGUUCAAACUGGCUACACCCCAUGUUAUGGGAAUGCGGGUAAUUUAAUAAUAUAUUUUUCAAGUUUUGCCUCUAACGUUUAAUGCGGAAUAAUCUAAUCGAACUAGGCCCACGUCUACUAUCUCGAAGUCAAACGAGUGAAACUAGCCAAGGGGCUUUCGCAACGGAUGUUUUGGCCGAGUUUGAUAUCAGGCCCGUUUAUCAAGCCCGUUCCUCAGGCCCACUUCUCAAGCCCAACACUGUUAAUUACCUAGGAGCAGCCACCUCCCAUUUUCUGGCAAUUUCGCUGUCAACCUUUAAUUGGACAGAGAAGGAGGCGGCAGCCCUCUUUUCUCUAUAAAAACAUCAAAUUCGUACAAAGGAGAAGAGGGGGUGGAGUUUGAAGCAGAAGAAAUCCUAACAUCUUCCCCCAAAUCCCCAAAUAGCAGUAGCAAUACGAAAUCCCAAACUAGUGUUUUCCAAAAAAAAAAAUGAAAUACCAACAGAAAAAAAUAUCGCUAAAUAGCCUAUACAGCCAAACUUUCUACUCCUAAACUCCUGGAACUGACUUCUAACCCUAACAAAAAUCCAAGAUAUACCCACAAGAAGGCCUUGAAGCUAUCGUCGUCCGUCUAGGAGUCGCAAGGGGGAAGAACACGUGAAUCCGAGAAGCAAAAGCCACCACAACCUAAAAGCAAAAGGAGAUCUCAUAAGAAAAGGUAAGGUACUCCAAAACCUGCAUUUAUUCAGACAUUCAUGACACUAUUACGAUUAUCACCCUUGAUUUCGUGUUUAUAUACUUUUUUUUCCUUACUAUCCUUUGUCAAUGCUACUUACCGAUAUACUUCAUAGCAUGCAAUUAAGCAAUGAAAGGAUCAAAGAAUAAAAUGACUAAAUUACACCAAGUGAAAUACCCACACCCCAAGUAGGUUGAAGCCUCUUCCAAAUGACCAACUAUUGCCUACCUUAGCACCAUUAGCAUCAAAGACCCAAGUAUCAUACAAAUACUCGGAAUUUGGAUUCGGUUUCACAAACAAACUAUGAGUUAUUCUAACAACUUUAUGGCUGGAAUUUCACAAAAAUCAGCUUAAUCAAAUCUGUCAAAGGAAGUCAAUCGUCAUGGUGUCAAAAUAAUUGGUUUUGCUUCAAUUUUGAGUGGGUCAAGUUUUCACCCAUCAAUAUGCAUAUUUACUUAUGCCUAAAGGAAGGGAUGAUAAGCCCCUAUUUUAAUCGAGUCAUUUAGCUAGCAAAAGUUUAAAUAAGAAUCUCGUACUUAGCUUUUUGGUCUUUACGAAUCGGAUCAAGUCAUUCCCCUUUCCGACUCCCUCGAACAAGUCAAUCCGCAAGCUUCGUUCUAUACCUGAAGUAACGUCAAAAACAAAAUCACAUCCUAUCUUCGCAAACAGAGGGUUUAUUAAAGAUAAUAAAAAAGAGGUCUUUUUACCUAUUCGGCCGCUCCCGUGGACGUCCGGUUCACCGGCGACGAAUCCAGGACCGGUGGUCCUGUUUUCAUCGUUGGAUCCAUUCAUCCCCCCGCCGACACCCAAUAAAAAAAACGCAUUGAGUUACAAAAAUCAUAAGAAGAAAAUAUAAACGUAAGAUAAAAUCAUGGAUUUGUAGAUCGGGGUUUGCAUGUCGGAGGAGGAGUUGUCGGAUGCGUCCCCCGGUCACAUGCAAGGCCGGACUUUGCUAAAAUCGAAAAUAAGAGAGGAUUAGGGUUGGAGGCGAUGUUUACCUCCGUUUUUUUACCGCCGUCGCCGACUCUACGAGGCAGGGAUGACGAGGCGGAGAUGACGAGAAAGAGAGGGACGGGGCUGGAUGCUUACUUCGAUCAUUUUCUCGUCGUCGUCGUCACCUCCACUGAUGGAUGGAGGACGAAAUCGCGAGUGAUAGUUCUGUUCUUUUGUGAAAGAUGAUAAUGAGAGAGUGGAGUUGAGAGGCGGGAGGAGGAUUUUAGGGUUGGAGAGUGGGGAUUUCGGUGUCUAUUAAGUAUUUGUACCUAGGAUAUUAAGGCUCCAGGCCAUAAUUUAUUAUUAAGUAAUGGGCUCUUGUUAAUUUAAGCAAAAUUCAGUGUUGGUCUUUGGGCUGCACUAAGGCCUACCGUGAUAAACAUAAUUCUGCCAAUUUAGAUCCUUCUAAACCCAAGAUAAGCCUGCAUUCAAUUAGAUUAUGAUGGUCUUUAGCUAAAUUAGUUAAUUAAAAAGAAGAGGGGAAGGCGUAUGGGGUAAUUUUGUAUAAUUAAUGAAUUGUGUUCUCUGAUUGCUCCCGUUACUAUGAAUUUAAAAUAUAAUAUAAAGGACCAACAAUCCUUAAAUCACUAAUUGAGUCAAAGUUUCGAUAUCCAUUCUAAUCCCGCUCGUGAUCGUUCGAUAAUAAUAUAUUAACAUUUAAAACCUUUAAAUCAUCAAUGGUUAAAAUCUCAUUAGUAAAAUCACAAUUUUGGUUUAAAAUACUUGUGACGAAUCUACUUGAAUUUCGGGUUCGUUUCCUCUCACCCGAUGACCUACGUCUAAACUUGGCAAAAAUUUACUAAUAAGUAUCUAGCUAAAUUAUGUCGUAUAUGUGAUAACCUAGUAAAAAUGUUAUGAUAAAUACUGCAAGUAUUCGGUAUUCGGAGCAGGAGUUUCGGGUCCUAAAAUAUUUCAAUGGAGCCCCCAACAAAUAUUAAUCCCUAACCAUUACUUAGCCGGCAGUAACCAUUAUUAAUUCUCCUAACGCUAUAACUAAUACUCCAAUUACGAAUGAAAGAUCCGUGAACGGACCCCUUACUUCCUCAAUAAUGUGUUCUCAAAUUAAUACCGCUAGCUUCGGAAUAUCGAAACGCGGAAAAACUCUUUACUAACAAAAAUCAUAUCAUCGAAACUAUCAAUAAACGCUUUUCAAAACAUUGUGAAAAAUGAACAUGGUAACGUAGAUUUUUAUAAUCCCUCGAAAUCCUCAUCAGCGCCAUCCGAACUACGCGGACUUUGAUCCCAAAAUAUUGGGUACGUAGGCAGCCGAGAAAGGCUCGAGUCCACUUAUAAAAAUCACUAUCAUAAAAGUAAUUGGUCCAGUAACGUAUUUUUCGCAAGAGCGAAAAUCCGCGAAAAAACCUCGAAUAGUGACCUAAACCUUUUCAAGAGGGAAAGUAUUUGGUUCUAAUAUUUUCAAACAAACCCUUCAAACAAAUCAUAAAAUUAUAAAACAUAAAAAGUCUUUCUCAAAUAAAUCUAAAAUGAGAAUAGUAACGCUGGACUUUAUGCUAUUAAAGUCACAUGAAAUUCUCGAAAAUAUAAACUCAUAAAAAUUUUCAAAAUUACCAAGCAAACUGCAACUAUUCAAUUGCACCUCAAAUCAACUUUUUUCAAAUCGAACUACGUGGACUUUGAUCCCAAAGAAUUUGG